rnacentral:rRNA from 1 species
UUCCGGUUGAUCCUGCCAGACCCGACUGCUAUCAGAGUAGGACUAAGCCAUGCGAGUCAACGCCGUAAGGCGUGGCAUACGGCUCAGUAACACGUAGUCAACAUGCCCAAAGGACGUGGAUAACCUCGGGAAACUGAGGAUAAACCGCGAUAGGCCAAGGUUUCUGGAAUGAGCCAUGGCCGAAAUCUAUAUGGCCUUUGGAUUGGACUGCGGCCGAUCAGGCUGUUGGUGAGGUAAUGGCCCACCAAACCUGUAACCGGUACGGGCUUUGAGAGAAGGAGCCCAGAGAUGGGCACUGAGACAAGGGCCCAGGCCCUAUGGGGGCGCAGCAGGCGCGAAACCUCUGCAAUAGGCGAAAAGCUGACAGGGUUACUCUGAGUGAUGCCCGCUA